rnacentral:rRNA from 1 species
AAUUCAUUUAUGGAGAGUUUGAUCCUGGCUCAGGAUGAACGCUGGCGGCGUGCCUAAUACA